rnacentral:rRNA from 1 species
UACAGAGGUCUCAAGCGUUGUUCGGAUUCAUUGGGCGUAAAGGGUGCGUAGGCGGCGCGGUAAGUCGGGUGUGAAAUCUCGGGGCUUAACUCCGAAACUGCAUUCGAUACUGCCGUGCUUUGAGGACUGGAGAGGAGACUGGAAUUUACGGUGUAGCGGUGAAAUGCGUAGAUAUCGUAAGGAAGACCAGUGGCGAAGGCGGGUCUCUGGACAGUUCCUGACGCUGAGGCACGAAGGCCAGGGGAGCAAACGGG